rnacentral:rRNA from 1 species
GAUGAACGCUGGCGGCGUGCUUAACACAUGCAAGUCGAACGGAAAGGCUCCUGCUUGCAGGGGUACUCGAGUGGCGAACGGGUGAGUAACACGUGGGUGAUCUGCCCUGCACUUCGGGAUAAGCCUGGGAAACUGGGUCUAAUACCGGAUAGGACGAUGGUUUGGAUGCCAUUGUGGAAAGUUUUUCGGUGUGGGAUGAGCUCGCGGCCUAUCAGCUUGUUGGUGGGGUAAUGGCCUACCAAGGCGUCGACGGGUAGCCGGCCUGAGAGGGUGUACGGCCACAUUGGGACUGAGAUACGGCCCAGACUCCUACGGGAGGCAGCAGUGGGGAAUAUUGCACAAUGGGCGCAAGCCUGAUGCAGCGACGCCGCGUGGGGGAUGACGGCCUUCGGGUUGUAAACUCCUUUCGCUAGGGACGAAGCGCAAGUGACGGUACCGGGAGAAGAAGCACCGGCGAACUACGU